AGCGAACGCUGGCGGCGUGCCUAACACAUGCAAGUCGAGCGAAGGCAUGAGUGUAGCAAUACACUUAUGUACUUAGCGGCGGACGGGUGAGUAACACGUGGAUAAUCUGCCUUGAGGACCGGGACAACUCUGGGAAACCGGAGCUAAUACCGGAUGUGACCACGAUGUCUGAGGACGUUGAGGUAAAAGGCGGCCUGCAAGGGCUAUUGCCUUGGGAUGAGUUCACGACCCAUCAGGUAGUUGGGGAGGG
rnacentral:rRNA from 1 species